UUUGAGCAUUUAUUAUAAGCAAGCCCAUUAAUUGUACUCUGUUGAUGGCCCACGCUCAACUUAAUGAUGUGAUUAGUUUAAAUUUGAAUUUAAGUAGGAGGAAGUUAUUAAUUGAAGCUUUAAUCCCUUCUAACGUGGUGUUUCAUCUUCUUCCCCACGUUGCUCUAACUACCCGAGUGCUCUAUUUUGUAUAUUGUUCUUACAUAUUGGUAAAUACUAGGAAGAGGACUUAUGUUCCUGAGAAACAGAUGGUUCGUUUCAAAGAGAAAGCUAAUUGAAAGAAGAUUGUUGACGUUAAUGUCCCUGCAACUUCUACCAACGCAUAUGGUGUUCGAAUGUGAGGGUUACAUUCUCUCUCAAAUGAUGAUCUUGCUACUUUUCAUUCCAUCAAGCAGAAGAGAUCGUCUAUUGGUUCUCCAAUCUUUGCUAAGAGGAAGAUUGAUAUGUUGUCCACAAUCGCCUUGAUUAUCAUUGAUCUUGUGGGAUCAGUUGAGAUGAUAAUUCGCUCAAUCAAAUGUUUUCCACGCUGAAAGAUGAAUGCAAAGACAACUUCUAAGUCUUCAAAAGAAAAUUCAAUAAGCAAUUCUGACAAUGAAUUUGAAAAAGUUCAAGGGCCAAUCACUUGUGCAUCUGCACGAGGUCAAAAGAAAAGGCAAAUCAUGCCUCUAUCCCUCUUUUGCCUCUUGAUGGUGUCUUCUCCAUUCCCUCUGAGAAAAGUGCCUUCUUUUGGAAGUUUGUGAUCAUGAAGAAGAUUUUUGCUAAUAAGUUGUCAGAAAAGGCACAAGAAUGUCUUGAUAUCAUGGAGCUGAUUGUAAAGCUGGUCUAGAAUUUCACCUACUCUUGAUGAUGUCAAUUCCUGACUUUCGAGGGGUUCAUGUCAAAUACCACAAUUUUGUUUUUACUAUAGGGGUGGGAAUGUUCCCUACACUCCUAAACUGUGUCCUUCGAUAAAAGAUUGGUUUCUGAAUUAACCGGAGGUUGAAGAAGGCUUGGCUUAAGACUUUUCGCAUUGGGAUUGGCAAUUGUUGCCCUUUUUUUCAUCACUCUAGUCUUUCAAUUGCUCUAGCUACUUUGUUGUAUCAAAUUGUAAAAGAAGUUAGUUUUGACUAUGGGGCUUUUAUCAUUGGUCAAGUUUGACAACACAUUGUUCUCAAAUUUUGUGUUCACCUAUUCCCUAUCCUCAACUAAUAUGUGGAACUGUCUCAAAAACCUAAUUUACUCUCAACCAAAAAACCUAUUAGUGCCAAUUCAAGUCUACCUUCUCCCAAUACUAUCGAGGAAGCUCAAGUGUUGAUUUUGGUCAUCGUUUUCUGCACUCUUUGUCUGAGAUGAGUAAAAUGUUUAAUGAUGUUAUUGAUUAAAACCUCUAUUAGUGCCAAUUCAAGUCUACCUUCUCCCAAUACUAUCGAGGAAACUCAAGUGUUGAUUUUGAUCAUCGUUUUCUGCACUCUUUGUCUGAGAUGAUUAGAAUGUUUAAUGAUGUUAUUGAUUGUGCAUCGAAUCAAAUGAUUGAAAGCGUGAAAUUACUAUAUUGAUGACUUUGAUGAGACUAGCUAGGAUGGAUCCUAAUCGUGUUGGCUCUUUAUAGUAUUUUCUUUAAACCAAAGGAGAGUUUGUUGCCAAUUUAAAGUUGUUUUUGCUUGGACUGAUGGUUGGAUGACAACCACAAAUGGCUAUCUAUUUCAUCAAUCUUAGACUUGCUCUUAUUUCUACACGAACCUAUAAUACUACGGUUUAACUUGACUAACUUUGUUAAUUGUUGAUAUGGGUUGGUAAUUUUUGAUAGGUCAUAUCUUUAAAAAAAUAUAUCUUAGUCAAAGGGAGAAUUUGUUACAAAUAGAUUGCUAGCAACUCAAAUUUUUAGUUAUCUCAAUUUUUAUCUUAAGUAGAUCUUAUCUCAAAGUCUAUUCUUCUAAUUGACAAAUCUAGAGAAUUAUUUUUUUUAUUUAACUAUCAUAUUAAUUUUGUUUGUGAGACUAUCAUACUAGCUCUUUGAGCUAUUUGAGGCAACAUGUACUUCAUCUGCUCUUGCUUUAAUUCACAAAGAUUGAUUGGUCUUGAAGAACCUAAGACUUUAUUUAUCGCUAAAGAUUUCUCAAGCAUUAGAAGGAACUUAAGAGUCUCACACACAUAGGUGGAGUCCAAAUAGUUUAUUUUGAUUCACUCAUUAUUUUGUUGUUCCUGAAAUUACAAAGACAUUGUGUGAGACAAAUGCAUUGAACAAACAAUGUCAUUAAUGAACUUACUUUUUAAUCAUAUAGAUGAUACUUGUGUUUUAUGUGGUUUUUAGAAUUGCAUAAUACCAUUUAGGAUUUAAACACAUUGUUCAAAGUUAGUUACUUUGAGAUUUGCUAAAAGCGUCUAAAAAAUUUAAACGUUAUGGAGUUACUAAAAAGACCAAUUUGAUUUUUAAACUUACAUUUUUCUGUUAGAUAAAUUUGAAUAUAUAAAACAAUAACCAUCCUCAAAAGCUUAUUCUACCUUUCUAUAUAAUUCAGAGACUAAAAUUAAACCAAUAAAUCUCCUCAAUAAGAUGGAAAAAACAAGAACGAUCAAUAAUAUGCAAUCGGAGACAUAAAAAAACAUGUAGAAAAUUGAGAUCAGACAUGGUUUCUAGGCCGCAUUGUCCAUCAAAUGAAGCAGAAAUUGUAUCUACUCAGAGCCCAGUGCAUGUUCAUCACUUCCAGUAACAGUAAUCACAAACAAAAGUUUCAAAAGAUGGAAAUACAAAAACAAAACAAAGAA